AUAUAUAUAUAUAUAUAUAUAUAUAUAUAAUUGAGGGGCAUUGGCGUGAUGAUGUGGCAAGCCUUAUAGGCCAGGGAUUGCUAUAUCUUCUUUCUCAAAUUAUUGGAGUUUUCUCCUAUUUUUCCUGUUUACCUCAUUAAUUAACUAAUAAUAUUAAAAAGGAAUGUCUUUUACUUACUCCAAAACGUUGCUUCAAAUCAAAGCCCAGGAGUAAAGACCUAUCCCUUCCUCAACAACUCUCUUUUUUUAGCCUCUAUACUCUUCCCAAAUAGAAGGCCAAUUCACAGCCAUGGUUGCAGAAUUUUAGUUUUGGGUUCGGAGCCGUAAAUCAGCAAUGCUUACCGCCGGUAAACCCAUAUAGUCUCUCUCACCAAUCAAACAUGAAGAAUUUUGUACCUCAGAUAUUUCUCACAGAGGGAAAUUGCUUCUCCUCAAUUGAUUUCUUCUCUAUCUUGAUUUCUUCUCCAUCUUGGCCGCAAUUGGAAUUGAAGACCUAAGGUUUUGGUUUGAAACGCUAAUGUGUUUAAUUCUUUCACCCCUGUUGAUUUAUCUUGGAAGUUUCUGCUUUGGUAAAAGCAACAGGUUUUCUGCUCCUGAGAAAAUCCGAGGAGAUUUCACGACCUUGAAGGUCCCUUUUCUUCCUAAUUUUUUUAACUCAAUUUUGUUGUUGUUUAUUUUCGGAACAAUUUGAGAUGGUGUCAUUAAUUCUUUAAAUAUUGAAAUUCGAACGUGUGACAUCUACCCAAAUAGACAAUACUUGAUUGAAGUGUUGGUCAAUCUUUUGAGGUUUAGAUGGAAAUUCAGUCAUAUUUUUUCAAAAUGACGUUUCUCUUUUUAUGGUAGAAUAUUUUGCUGUUAUUAUUGGUCUCAAAUUUACUUGAAGCAGGUUGAGACUUGCGAGCAGAUGCAUCACAGCCCAUCCUUGAAGAUUUUCUUUGAUCUUAAUCCCAACAAGCAGAUAUAUGAAAAGGUCUAUGUGGAUCAUCGACUUAAUAUAAUUAGGCGGACCCAUUUAAAUACCAUGAUAUCAUGGGCUAUUUCAUUCUUACCGAGAAUAUUUAUGUCGGAAGCUUGUGGGUCCACAUAUAAAGUUGCUUUGAAUUAUUUAUUUUACACUUGUACUUAAAAUAAUUGCUCAAUGCAUAGACAAAUAUUUGCACCAUUUAGAUGGCACAACAAUUUGUAGCAGAAACUUUUGCUUGAUGCCAAAUCUGAAUGUUCGUGAUACUUAAGAUGAGCAUUAAGAUGUUUUGGUCAUCGUUGGGCUGAAUUUGUAGUAGGUACAAAGUGCUUCUAUUUGGUUUGAAGUUGGAAGAAAAGAUAGUUUUCAAUCAGCAACCAUCUUUAUCUAUAACAAAGAUUAGAUAUACUACAAGUUGUGAAUUUCAGAAUAAAGUAUCGUGGCAUAGUCUAAUGGUUGGAGGCCUCAUAUUUAUAUGAUAUUUAUUGAGGAUUAUAUUUAGGUGUAUUCUUAUGCCGAAAAUCGUUUUGUGCAUUGAAAUAUAAAUCAACAUUUUUAAAAUAUCAUUUCAUGCACUAUACUUUUUUUCCUAUAAUCAGAAGCUGAUCAUAUUCUGCUGACUCUUUUUAAAUAGGGAAGGAAAAGGAUUGGAACGUCGGAUGAGAGCUUUUUGGUGUUUCAGUUUUGCAGACUUCUCAUUUUAUAGUGCAGAUUAUAUCACUAUUAAUCAAGAGAAGAAAAUAUGUCUAGAGAAGAAGGACCUCUCUCUAUAGAGUGGAGAAAACUGGAGCACAAAUCUUUCAAAGAAGCGUUGAAUGGUCAGCUUUACAGCGGAGUAAAAACUGCUGGAGGAAGGAAUCAGAUAGAGAACCUUGGUUUUCCCUGUCGAGUGAACAUGUCCUACAACAACAACCCAGUAUAAUCCCACUAGUGGAGUCUGGGGAGGGUAGUGUGUACGCAGACUUUACCCCUAUCCUGGGGUAGAGAGGUUGUUUCCAAUAGACCCUCGGCAUCCUUCUCUCCAAGAACCCCCACCUUGCUCUUGGGGUGACUCGAACUCACAACCUCUUGGUUGGAAGUGGAGGGUGCUGACCAUCAGAGCAACUCACCUUGUCGUAAAAAGAUAUUCUUGAAGACAUGUGAAGUAGGUGGCUAUAUCAUGUUUCAUAAUCAAUAAAAUUCUUCCACUAACUGGAAUGGAUGGAGACAAGGAGUACAUCAAUUUCCAGUACUAUCGCAGACUAUCUGAAUUCCACUUCGACAAAACAGAGACAAAUUGGAAAAACUAAUUUGUUCAGCCAAAACAUGAGGUGAGAUGCUUUUAGUUCAUCUUGAGUCAUUAGCAAUAUGCACAAGAGAACAAGGACUGUUGCUCCUGCAACCUGCUUUCAUUUUUGGGUGAGUGCACCAAAAUCCAUGUUUACCAUUGAAACAAACUCAAUCUACUUGAGUGAAAGGUACUGUGAGAAAAAUGAUAGAUAUGACUAUCGAAGCUUAUAAUCAUCAUGCAGUCCAAACAAAUGUAUAUCAUUCUAUUGCUAUCAGAAAAAGCUCAUAAACAUCAUGUAGUCCAAACAGAUGUAUAUCAUUCUUUUUUCUAAUAAGUGAAUGUAUAUCAUUCUUUGACUAA